rnacentral:rRNA from 1 species
UACGUAGGGUGCGAGCGUUAAUCGGAAUUACUGGGCGUAAAGCGUGCGCAGGCGGUUAUGCAAGCCCGACGUGAAAGCCCCGGGCUUAACCUGGGAAUGGCGUUUGGGACUGCAUGGCUAGAGUACGUCAGAGGGGGGUGGAAUUCCACGUGUAGCAGUGAAAUGCGUAGAGAUGUGGAGGAACACCGAUGGCGAAGGCAGCCCCCUGGGAUGAUACUGACGCUCAGGCACGAAAGCGUGGGGAGCAAACAGG